CUGGGAGUAGAAUGCUUCGCGCGAAUCAACUGAGCCGUGUGGAGGGCGGGGCCUAAAGGAAGAGGUCCUAAUGUGGUUGGUCACUUUAGUGGCCAUUUCAGGAUGUGAAAGUGACCUCUGCAGUAACAUCCCUGCUUCUGCCAACUGGUUUUCGGUGGUUUUUUCCUUCGAAAACCAAAAGAAUAUGAAAAUACCAUCACAAGUGCUUUCUAACAUUCACCCUCCAACAGAUGCAUAGGAGAGCAACUUCAGGAUAACAUCUUGCCCAAGCAGCCAGGCGCUGAAUCACCAACCUCCUGAUUAGUAGAUCUGAUCUGCUC